CGCUGGCGGCACGCCUAAUACAUGCAAGUCGAACGAAGUAGCAAUACUUAGUGGCGAACGGGUGAGUAUAAUGUGGGUAUCUGCCUUUUGGUUUGGAAUAACACGAGGAAACUUGUGCUAAUACCGGAUAAGCCUUCACAGGGAAAGUUUUAACGCCAAAAGAUGAGCCCGCACUUGAUUAGCUAGUUGGUAAGGUAAAAGCUUACCAAGGCUACGAUCAAUAGCUGAUCUGAGAGGAUGAUCAGCCACAUUGGGACUGAGACACGGCCCAAACUCCUACGGGAGGCAGCAGUAGGGAAUCUUGCACAAUGGGGGAAACCCUGAUGCAGCGAUGCCGCGUGAGUGAAGAAGGCCUUUGGGUUGUAAAGCUCUUUCGUCGGGGAAGAAAAUGACUGUACCCGAAUAAGAAGGUCCGGCUAACUUCGUGCCAGCAGCCGCGGUAAUACGAAGGGACCUAGCGUAGUUCGGAAUUACUGGGCUUAAAGAGCACGUAGGUGGUUAGAAAAGUUGGUGGUGAAAUCCCAAGGCUUAACCUUGGAACUGCCAUCAAAACUUUUUAACUAGAGUAUGAUAGAGGUAAGCGGAAUUUCUAGUGUAGAGGUGAAAUUCGUAGAUAUUAGAAAGAACACCAAUUGCGAAGGCAGCUUUCUGGAUCAUUACUGACACUGAGGUGCGAAAGCAUGGGUAGCGAAGAGGAUUAGAUACCCUCGUAGUCCAUGCUGUAAACGAUGUGUGCUAGACGUUGGAAAUUUAUUUUUCAGUGUCGCAGCAAAAGCGUUAAGCACACCGCCUGGGGAGUACGACCG
rnacentral:rRNA from 1 species